GGGCGGGUGGUCUAGUGGUGAAGACGUUAGCCGUGUAAGCUGAAGACCCGGGUUCGAUUCCCGGCUCGGCCA
rnacentral:tRNA from 1 species